rnacentral:rRNA from 1 species
UACGUAGGCAGCGAGCGUUGUUCGGAGUUACUGGGCGUAAAGGGUGUGUAGGCGGUUGUUUAAGUUUGGUGUGAAAUCUCCCGGCUCAACUGGGAGGGUGCGCCGAAUACUGAAUGGACUUCGAGUGCGGGAGAGGAGAGUGGAAUUCCUGGUGUAGCGGUGAAAUGCGUAGAUAUCAGGAGGAACACCUGUGGUGUAGACAGCUUGCUGGACCAUUUCUGACGCUGAGACACGAAAGCGUGGGUAGCAAACAGG